AUUGAACGCUGGCGGCAGGCUUAACACAUGCAAGUCGAGCGAGCGGCGGACGGGUGAGUAAUGUCUGGGAAACUGCCUGAUGGAGGGGGAUAACUACUGGAAACGGUAUCUAAUACCGCAUACCAUCAGAUGUGCCCAGAUGGGAUUAGCUAGUAGGUGGGGUAAUGGCUCACCUAGGCGACGAUACCUCGCUGGUCUGAGAGGAUGACCAGCAACACGGGAACUGAGACACGGUCCAGACUCCUACGGGAGGAAGCAGUGGGGAAUAUUGCACAAGGGGCGAAAGCCUGAUGCAGCAAUGCCGGGUGUGUGAAGAAGGCCUUCGGGUUGUAAAGCACGUUCAGCGAGGAGGCGGUACUCGAAGAAGAAGCACCGGCUAACUCCGUGCCAGCAGCCGCGGUAAUAC
rnacentral:rRNA from 1 species